AUAUUUAAAACGGAAAAGAGAAAAAAAAUUAAAAAAAAUAAAAUAAAAAUAAAAUAAAACAAAAUAAAAUAACAUAAACAAGAUAAAAAAUAGAAUAACAUAAUAAAAAGGAUAAGAAACAAAAUGGAAAAAUGGAAAGCAUAAAAGAAAUUCAAAAUUAAAAGAGAAAGGCCAAAAUGUUAAUGGAGGGGUAAAAACCUAAGAAGGGUGACUACAUAGAGUAAACCGACCCGUGGUUGCCUAUGGGCUCGAGGCCUAACUCAGAAAAGGAAAAAGAAAAGAGGAAAGGGGAGUGUCAGGAUGAGAAACAGAGGUGCUAAACUCUUUAUUAGAGUUUUCAGAAGUGCCAAUGGGCUUAAGCCCAACCAGGAAAAAUGAAGAGGUGCACAGUCGAGAAAUAGGGGUACAGCGAAGGAGGAAGGUUUCUUAAGAAAAAUCUGGAGCCCAACAACUUGGCCCAAGGGUUUCAGCAGAAGCUUUAGGGGUUCAAGCCAGCUCCCUCUCAUUCUGCCAUUUCACUCAAAUGAGACCUAGGGUCUUCUUCUCUGGGCAAGAAAACCCAGAGACAUUCACCUUCCGCCGUUAGACGACCACGUCCUAGCCGCAAUUCGAAUGGCCACCGAGAGCCGCCGUCGGCGGCGUCACCAAUGCCUUCACCGGAAGAGCCACCGCCCUUCACGCCGGACCACCAUCUCGUCCUCUCUUCUUCGCGUGAGACCGACCCCAACUCCGAGAUGCCCCCACUCCCGCCGCCGUCGACGAAAUCAACUAUACAAACCGGAAGUCGAGGCCGCGCUGGCGACGUUGCUCGCCGCCGGAGUCGUCGCCGGCUGCCAGGUUGUCUCCUUUCCUCACGCGCGAGAUCACCAGAACGCCACCAAUCACAGCGUCUAGGUCCUCUUAAUCAACUUUUCUUCUUCAGCAUGCGUAGGAAAUUCUAAGACAGGCACAUCAUAAACACUUGUCUCCAUGGAACAAGAGGUUCGACCAACUGGUUUCUCAUGCCCAAGGGGUUCACACAAAGCGGUCCACCAUAGGCUAUUUCUUUUGUUGGCAACGAGGGUGACGCAGUCGGAGUGGCAGUGGUUGGACCUAAAAACGACGCCGAAUCGAUCUAGAUCGCAGGGGGGCGGUGGCGGCGUGCGUCACUUUGACGGCGCCGGAGGCAAGGCCAAACACCAAAUUCUGUUGCCCUUGUUUGAAUGUAUUGGAUAAGGUGAGCUGUUUCGAAGACGAGCUUCGAACCUACUGGUAUGGGGUUACUGAUUUGGUCUAUCGGUUCCGUUUGGUAUAGGGGAAAGGAGGUCUCUGAUUGAGUGUAGCUUCAACGUAUACCACUACCCAGAUUGAGGGGAACCUAUGGUUUACUAGAGGAACAAAAAAAAGCUUCUAUUCUUUCGGUUCUUUGCAUAAGAAAUACAUCUGUUUUUGCUUUUGUUUGCCUUUUGCUGCAUUUUUCUAUGGUGUUUUUUUCUAGGUGCAAAUAGAUAGGUAUAUUGGUUUUGAUGUUAGGGAAUAUGCACUAUGUCCUAUUGUCAGUUAAAUAUGAUGGGUUUUACAAGCAUUGAAACUGCAUUUUGGGUGCAGUUUUCUGAUUGACAGAGGAUAUCACAGAGUAAACGAACAUAACCACAUACACGCAUAUUUCAUUCAUAUUCCAGACAUGUAACAGAGACAUAUAACAGGGGCAUGUAACAAAGCAGCAGGCAUUCACAAAGACCAAGAGCUUGAAGAAGACAACCUACCUUCGCCGCUUCAAAGAACUGGUGAAGUCAAAUGGUUCUCCUCUUCUCUGGCUGUGAGGUGUUCCUUCUUCCCAAGUGGUGAUGAUCAGUGAUGGCAAUGGUAGUGGGUCUCCAAUGUUUUUGUGAGGGUCCGGUGUUUCUUCAAUAGUGAGGUUGAUAAUGAGGUGUUGGAUAUGAAUGAUGUUAUUUUGUUCUGAUAGUAUUUUUUUUGUGCUCUUGGUGUGAGUGAUGGUGAAUGAAUAAUGCUCUUCUCCUCUCCCUGCUUUCUGACUCUUCAAGGCCUAUCCCCAGGAUCUCCCCUUUGUCCUUCUCUUUUGUUUUGCGUUCGAUUUCAUGUUUGUCUUUUUCCUUUUCUCAUGUAUUCAUUGUAUUAGUUGACAAACAAAAUAUUCCAAAUAUUUCUCCUUUUAUGAAUGUUCAUGACUCUGCAUAAAGAUUUUAGCAAAAAGAGCCCAGACUUUUUGAUGCUCCAACCACAUAUACACGUUUUAAGAAUAACGUGUAAUGUUGGAUGGUGAGCGUUGCCUGGUGUUCUGCGGGUUGCCUGGUGCUCUGUUGCAUGAGGAUCAGCCUUGUACGUUAACAUGCCACAGGAAAGCUUAUUUCGGUCUUGCGUGACAUUAAGGAUGGGAAGUCUGCCAUACCUUUUUUUUCUUGUUUUCUCUUUUUUUUUUCUUAGAUUUUUUUUGUUUUGUUAACAUUUAUCAUAAAAUAAACUAAACAAUAAAAGAGAAAUUGACGUAAAUAAAGUUAAAUAACUCUAAAUAAUAAAGUAAAAUUAAAAAUAAAAAUAGAAUUAAAAUAAAA
rnacentral:lncRNA from 1 species